AGAGCUGCAUGGUCAACUCAUGUCACUUCUGUCACCCUGCUGAAUGCCACAUCACACUGCCAAUGCUCAGGAGCACUGACUGCUGGCUUCUGCAAGAAUGGAAGGAAAGGAAGACAUGGACACAUUGGCUACAUCUAAACUACUAAAAAAGUUAGUCAGAGAAUUUUCCUGCAGACCAACUGGCAUGAAAGAACUUGAAUCCACGCAGCUAAACUCUCUUGCCCUCCAAAUCACGGUGGCCACAUCCAAAAUAUCUAUUGGUGAUGGUGCCUGAACUGGGCUUUGUUUGAACCCAAGCUGUGCUUUGGCAUUGUCUGGAAGAGCAUGAACAGGCUUGCACCAAAACCAUGCCAAGGACCAGUUUAGCGUACGGAUGGUUUCGGGACCAUGCCUUGCUGGUCUUGUUUAGUUUUUUUAGUGUCAGAGGGAAACCUCAGUAAUUCUGCCAGGAGUCAACAGGAAACCCUUUCUGGCCUCAGUGACCAGAAGCUGCUGAGAAGUAUAAUCAUUAGGAAAUAAAGUUCUGAACCGUACCUUCUGUACCUUCUGCCUAAAACCAGGAAGACAGUUUUGGACAAGUACUAUGCAUAUGCAUGGCCCAACACUUCUACCUUGCUCCCUAUCACUGCAGGAGGAUUGGGAUAAUUCUUCUGUUUGCACCAGAUCAGAGGCAAACAUGUGAGUGCUUAGAAGAAAAUACUCCUGAACACAAGCCGUUGUUGAAGUUUACCUCUGAUGACAUCUUUGGGAAACACACUGAAACACCCCAUAGGAACAAGGAAUGCAUAAAGCCUGCAAGCUCUUUAACAGGUGGAAAAGUCAUUCUGUGACAGCUAAGAGAUGAAAUCAAAGAAAGGAGACCUAGUUCAACAGACAUGAGCUUUCUGAAUGAAGGCAACCGAAAGAUCAAGAGAAUCAAGAAAAUAAUAUGAGUGAUCAGCAAGCUGGUGAGGCACACACCAAAAGUCAGCUUCAGGUGUGCUUCCAUCAGCUGCUUGCUCUGAGAAAACAUCACUUCAACUGCAUUUUUUGCACCUGCAAGCUGGUUAUCUGGACUAGCCUGAUACUUAACAUGUACUCUGAGAGUUUGCUCUCCUUUUUCUGAUGCUCUGUUGAUGCCUGGCCUUGGUGCUUGGGCUUAGGGCCCUGCAUGAUUUAAUUGCACAUUACAACAAAGAUUUUUGAUUUAUACUUUCUAACUGCAUUCUCUCUUACAUUUCAAAGUGCUUGAAACAUUAUGAUUCUCUAUAAAAGUCCUUGCCCAGAUAUGCUUUUUCAGAGACUCAUCUUCUCACACCAUGUUUUUCUAAGAGUUUUUUUAUUUUGGUGGUUACUGCCCUGACAGAUGGAAUUCUUGACUCUUCCAUUUGAGUCUGGUAAGUAGUCUAAAAAAAGUUAGCUGGCCUUGCUGUCACUUGAGAGGUUGGGACUUCAUUUCUUUCUUUAUUUACAAACAACCCAGAACAUUAUUGGUAUCUAUAGUGAAGAUGGAAAUAUUGCCAUUGGAUCUAAACUGAGGUUCAGGGGGGACCACUGUUUUAAAAGUAGUGAAUUUAGAAGACAAAUGUAAACUUUCUUAGUGUGAUGAAACAUAAUGCAUUUAUUUGAAGUAUGUUUCAAAAAAAUGAGACUUGAAUGAGCUUUGAACUUAGUAUAUGAGUUGACUUUUCAUCUCUGACUUUGACUUGAAUAGCUGUCAAAAUACUAUUAAUUAUGAUACUAUUUUAAUUUUUUUAGAAAUUCUUUGUACAGUGCCUUGACGAAGAUCAUAACAUAAAUUUGGGCAGUUGUAAAACUCUUCCUUCUCUUUCUAAGCAUUUACUCUUGGAACAAAUCCUGCUGAAGUCCCUGGGAGUAAAGGACAAUCUGGGAGAGUUGCUAAUCUUAUUCUUACAAGAGCUGUGUCUUGCCUGCUAUCCUGCUUGGUGUCUGUCAGGCUCACGAUGGAAAUAAAUUAUCCUUUGUCAAUGUCUUGUUGGUAGAU
ensembl:lncRNA